UGUGUAGGCGGAAGAUUAAGCGUCUUGUGAAAUCCCUCGGCUUAACCGAGGAAUUGCUUGGCGAACUGGUUUUCUUGAGGCAAGUAGGGGUGCAUGGAACUCUUGGUGGAGCGGUGGAAUGCGUAGUUAUCAAGAGGAACGCCGGUAGUGAAAACGGUGCACUGGGCUUGUCCUGACGCUGAGACACGAAAGCGUGGGUAGCGAACAGGAUUAGAUACCCUGGUAGUCC
rnacentral:rRNA from 1 species